rnacentral:rRNA from 1 species
ACUCCUACGGGAGGCAGCAGUGGGGAAUAUUGCACAAUGGGCGCAAGCCUGAUGCAGCAACGCCGUGUGAGUGAAGAAGGUUUUCGGAUCGUAAAACUCUGUCCUAAGGGAAGAAACAAAUGACGGUACCUUAGGAGGAACGCCCGGCUAACUACGUGCCAGCAGCCGCGGUAAUACGUAGGGGCAAGCGUUAUCCGGAAUCACUGGGCGUAAAGGGUGCGUAGGCGGCUUAGCAAGCCAGGGGUGAAAGGCAUUGGCUCAACCAAUGUAAGCCUUUGGAACUGUUAAGCUUGAGUGCAGGAGAGGUAAGUGGAAUUCCUAGUGUAGAGGUGAAAUUCGUAGAUAUUAGGAGGAACACCAGUGGCGAAGGCGACUUACUGGACUGUAACUGACGCUGAUGCACGAAAGCGUGGGUAGCGAACAGGAUUAGAUACCCUGGUAGCACAGAG